GAUGAACGCUAGCGGGAGGCCUAACACAUGCAAGCCGAGCGGUAUUUCUUCUUCGGAAGAGAGAGAGCGGCGUACGGGUGCGGAACACGUGUGCAACCUGCCUUUAUCUAGAGGAUAGCCUUUCGAAAGGAAGAUUGAUACUCUAUAAUAUAUUAAUUGGCAUCAAUUGAUAUUGAAAACUCCGGUGGAUAGAGAUGGGCACGCGCAAGAUUAGCUAGUUGGUGAGGUAACGGCUCACCAAGGCAAUGAUCUUUAGGGGGCCUGAGAGGGUGAUCCCCCACACUGGUACUGAGACACGGACCAGACUCCUACGGGAGGCAGCAGUGAGGAAUAUUGGUCAAUGGGUGCAAGCCUGAACCAGCCAUCCCGCGUGAAGGAUUAAGGUCCUAUGGAUUGUAAACUUCUUUUGUAUAGGGAUAAACCUACCCUCGUGAGGGUAGCUGAAGGUACUAUACGAAUAAGCACCGGCUAACUCCGUGCCAGCAGCCGCCGUAAUAC
rnacentral:rRNA from 1 species